GGUUAAGCGACUAAGCGUACACGGUGGAUGCCCUGGCAGUCAGAGGCGAUGAAGGACGUGCUAAUCUGCGAAAAGCGCCGGCGAGGUGAUAUGAACCUUUGACCCGGCGAUGUCCGAAUGGGGAAACCCAGUGCAAUCCGUUGCACUAUCGUUAACUGAAUACAUAGGUUAACGAGGCGAACCGGGGGAACUGAAACAUCUAAGUACCC
rnacentral:rRNA from 1 species